ensembl:lncRNA
UUGAGGACAGCUGUGAUUGCUCCUAACUUGAUUUAAUAUCAAUUUUGAGAAAUUACAAAAGCCAUUUGGAAAUACAUCAGAAUCUGUUAAGUGAAUGAUACUGCCACACAUUUUAACACAUAAAAAUAUGCAACAAAUUUGAACUUGGGUUUAAAAAUAACUUGGCAUUGAUCAGCAAAAUCAAAGCAUGGAUAAUAAUAUCCCCACCAAAAAAUAUAUAAAAUAAAAUAUUAACUACAGUUUAACUAUUGUGUUAUAACAUUUUUUACUAGAACUAAUAUGCUAAAAAAAAUAAGACAAAAAUUAUAAGCAUAUUAAACCAAGUCUGCAUAGAUUUUAUGGAGUAAACUGUAGCACAAAAUGAGCCCCACUGUGUAGGCUGUGUGAUGUUGGGGUAAGGCCUGAUGCAUGAUACAAAAAAAAAAAAAAAAUAAUUAAAAGGGAGGGGAGACUGAUAGAAAGGCAACGGUUACCAAGGCAUCUCAGUUUGGUUAAAACUGAUGCAACUACAACGUUUACUACUGCAGAGCACAUAGCUCACAGCGACCCUGCACACACUUUCCUACAGACAGCACGUUCGCGUUUCGACCUGACUUCCAAUUCGUUUCACUGACUGCCAAAAAUAAAAGACCAACAACACCGACGCUUAUUUGGGAGCUUUUAAUGCUCACGCAUGCCACACAGGUUUGAAAUGAAAUUAAUAUCUUGUUGUUGUUGUUGUUGUUGUUUUUUUAAUUAGUUAAUUAACUAAUUUUACUCCAUAGGGUCACAUAUAGUUUGAUCUUGAGUAAAAUGAAUGUGGUUGUCAGGACAUUCUCACACAGGUACGGUUGAUGUGGCCAUGCUGCAGAGGAAGGCCUGCUUCAGAUUUUUUUUUGUCGGCUUAGACAGCAGCCUCGAUCGAAGACGCACAGCACAGACCGCAUUUCGAUGUCGCCUUACAUCUAGUUUUGUUGUUGUUGUUGUUGUGGCACUUGUUCCCAUAGGCUCCGUGUGCAGAACGCUGCGCACGCAAAGGGCGUUUCGAUGCGGCAGUUUCUCUGUGUUUUGACGUUAAAGAACGGCUGUCACGGCGAUUAUGCGACUCCCUUACUUCACGCAGAUCGGUUUAUAUUUCUGUUGUACUCUCUUUUGUUCUUCUCGAGUCCAGAACAACGUGUCGGUGUGCGACAGAAAUCC